UUCAGACCACUUCAUCAAAACGCGUCGUUUUGAUAAGGGCCCAGCCAAAUUUUUUUAAUUGCGUCUGACCUGCUGUGGGGCCCACUUCCUUCACUGUAGCUACACGAAAAUGCUCACUCUUUGGGCAAAUUUCAUUUUGCCCAUGGGCUUUUUUUGGCUUGAUCAAAUUUUCUCACCUUCUACAAUGGUGAGCAUUUUAUUUUCCCAUCAAAUUUGCCCAUGAGCAAAUAAAAUGCUCACCAUUGGCAUUGCUCUAAACCCUACCAAACCGUACAAAUUUUCUCUCUCCUCAAACUUUCAAUCCUCUUUACUUCCUCUCUCCACAAAUCCCAAAAUCUAGCCCAAAUUUCUGCAAAAACAACCUAAAUUGCUCAAAUCAGAUGGAAGUUUCAUUACUCUAAGUACGUAGUACAUAUUUUCAUAAGGACACACACAGACAGUCUCGGAGCGCCGGAGUGAUGUCAGGGCUUCACAUAUCUUCUAGCGCUCCAUUGAAGAACGGCCUUCCUCCUCAAGAACUCCUCGAUGAUCUUUGAAAGUUGUUGAAAAUGAAGCGGAAGUAAUUGAAAAAGUUGAAUUUGAGAAACGUGUGCAAAGUCAAAAACAAAAAUACAGUGCCAAGCUUUCAUCAAGGAUUCAACCAACUAGAAAAAUGAAAAAAAAGGAAGAAGAAGAUAAGGAUGAUGAUGAUGAGAAUGAUGAUCAACAUGAUAUUAAUGAUGAGAUGGACCAAAGUUGGAGGAGAAAUAUGAUAAAAGAGAUGGCGUGAAUGAUGAUAGUAAAUAGGUGGUUUUGAAAAAAAAAUAUGAAAAGUAAGAAAAGAAAGAUUGAAAAAGAAAAGGAUGAUGAGGAUGUCAAAAUAAUCAAAGAGGAAAAACAAUAAGAGAUCAGCUUAUCAAAGAGUUACUGCUAAGGAAUUGAUGAAACAAGUGUUGGUAGGUCUUUCUGAUAAGCAUAAACAAGCAAUUAAGAAAAUGGGAUCUGGAGCUUUUUUGAAAUUGGAUGCACCACAUUAUGUGGAUUCUUGUGGCGUGGAGUCAACCUAGUUGGCGUUGUGUUCAAUCCAGUUAGCUUCAUCAAUCAUUAUAAUUUAUAGCCCAACCCCAAGAAAAUUAUCGAGCUCAGAAGAUUAAAUCCUAGCAUACAGGGAGUCCAAUUCUUUCUCUAGUUGUUUCUUUUUAUCGUCGAUAUCAACAAUACUCUUCUUCAGCUUCAAUAUCUUUUCAGUUUCUGACUUGUAUCUUUUAUGGAGUUUUGUGGCCUUCUCAACUGUAGGAGCUAACUAGUCCACUUUCAAGCCUAGACACCGAAGAUCAGCUAGGUUUGAUUGUAGCUCCUCAAAUAGGGAAUCAGUUAAAUUUCGUCCCUUGGUGUUGUCAAUGGUGAUUUUCAGCUUUGCCACUGACUUUAACGCGCAAGUUUGCAUGUUCUUGCUACAAACGAUACUUUGACGGCCUUCAUCAAAUAGACCGUGUUGGCGAACAAUUCUUGUUGACGAAGGUUCAAUAUUGUUGGUGUAGGUUCAAUCAUGUUGGCGGAUGUUCAACCUAGUUGGCGUGGGGUGCACUUAGUUAGAAAAAAAAAAGAACAAAAUAAUGCAAAAUAAUCAAAUUUUUCACAUUAUGAAAAGUAAUGAAAUAAAUGAUCAUUUUUCACAUUAUAAUUGAACAUUUUAUAAAACCAUAUAUUACCAUCAAAAACUGCAGAGGGCCUUUGUAGUACCCCUUGCCUUGCUGCUUUCUCCAAUCAACAUGACUUUUAAUUAAUGAGUUAAAUACAUACUGACACCAAUUCAAAUUUCUUAUUCUUUCUUUGUCCAUCAUUAAGAAAAGAAAAUUGAAAUGACAUUGAUUGUUUAAUAUGCACUUCAUCAUGCAGUUCACAGCAACUGCUAAAAAGUUAGAUAUGAAGUGUUCACUUGGUGGUCUAUUGUUGAUGAAUUUAUCAUGUAUGUAUCCAUUCACAAUAUGUUAAGAAAAUGAACAAGACAAUUACAAUUUUUGAUCGUUUAAUGUAUUAAAAAUGAACAUUUUAAGAAAAUAACUGAUCAUACCUGACUCACUGAUAGAGUAUUUCCUCCCCUAACUUUUUCCAUUUCUUCAGAAAUUCUGCAUAUUUAUCACUAGCUUUAUAAGACUUUGCCUCAACAAUUGGAAUUUCUCUUGUAGGCAAGCCAUAAACUACCCUCACAUCCGCUACCUCAACUUCAAUUUUUUCAUUCUUUGGCAAUCCAAAAGUCUGACUACUCUCUUCAAAACUAUCCAAUAUCCAAUUACAGAAUUUUUGAUCAAGUUGUGGUAAUUUGAUGUCAAGAAGUGAUCUUAACCUAUAUCAACCACUUGUUUUUGAUCUUUUGUCAUUAUAUCUAUCCAUGCUAUGAACUUGACAUGUCCUUUUUUGAUGAUAUCUCUUCCUCAAAUUCCUCUUCCAACUUAGUUUCCUCAUCCUCAACUAUUUCAGUUUUCAUCUUUUUUUUCUUCCUCUUCUUCCACUCUUUCCUUGAUUGUACACCACCAACUUCUGUUCCCCCUUCUCAGUCUUUGCCUUCACUUGCUUCUGUUCCUUCUCUUUCUUUGCCUUUUUCUUCUUUGGUUUUAUUUCAACUUCCUCCUCCUCUAAUUCAUCAUCUUCCUCAUCGACAGGUUCUGUUUCAACUUUGUAGAUAGAAUCUUCACUAUCAUCACCACUGUUAGUGGAAUUUUCAUCAGAAGAAGAAUCCUGAGAUGGUUCAUCAUAUGGAACUUCCUGUAUUUUUUUCCUCUUUCGAUCCCAAUAUUCUUCUUGGCUGACAGCUGAAAAUGAAUAUAAAAUUCAUCAGCUAUCAUCAUUUAAUGUAUUGAAAAUAAACAUUAAUCAAUUGAAUAUAAAAAGUAACUAUAUGUGUAAAUGAAUAUAAAUGUUUCUAUAUAUGAUCAUUCUGUUUUUUGAAAAUGAACAUUCAUAAAGAACAUGAUUAUACUAGAUUUCUUAGCAAUUUUCUUUAUUCCUC